UGGUUGUCAUGUUGAUGAUACUGGCCUGUUGUAGAAGGUACAGCAGAGCUGAUGGACGGUGGUUGGGGGUGUGGUUGUCAUGUUGAUGAUACUGGCCUGUUGUAGAAGGUACAGCAGAGCUGAUGACCGGUGGUUGGGGGUGUGGUUGUCAUGUUGAUGAUACUGGCCUGUUGUAGAAGGUACUUCAGAGCUGAUGACCGGUGGUUGGGGGUGUGGUUGUCAUGUUGAUGAUACUGGCCUGUUGUAGAAGGUACUUCAGAGCUGAUGACCGGUGGUUGGGGGUGUGGUUGUCAUGUUGAUGAUACUGGCCUGUUGUAGAAGGUACAGCAGAGCUGAUGACCGGUGGUUGGGGGUGUGGUUGUCAUGUUGAUGAUACUGGCCUGUUGUAGAAGGUACAGCAGAGCUGAUGACCGGUGGUUGGGGGUUUGGUUGUCAUGUUGAUGAUACUGGCCUGUUGUAGAAGGUACAGCAGAGCUGAUGACCGGUGGUUGGGGGUGUGGUUGUCAUGUUGAUGAUACUGGCCUGUUGUAGAAGGUACAGCAGAGCUGAUGACCGGUGGUUGGGGGUGUGGUUGUCAUGUUGAUGAUACUGGCCUGUUGUAGAAGGUACUUCAGAGCUGAUUGCUGCAAGAUGGACCGAUAUUAUUUCACUACACUAAAAUGUGACAUACAUUAUAUCUUGAAAAUAUCAAUGUAACCUUAAAAAAAAUACUUAAUUGUUUUUUCAGAUGAUUCAAGCAACCCUAUUUUAGACCACAUUUAUACCGAUCGUUAUCACCAUGGAUGAGAAUACCACUUCAAGUUGGACAGAAUGACUUCUAAAAUAAUACAAGAUAUGCUAUGUUAACCUCUGAAUGAAGUUAAUUUACGACGUUGAAUUCAUUAGCUGCAUUAAGGAUACAGUACGUCACUCCUUUGUUUGGGGGAAUUUAGUGUUAUAGUGUUUGAAGUGCUUAAAACUCUGAGCAAUAAU